rnacentral:rRNA from 1 species
GGGGCUAGCGUUGUUCGGAAUUACUGGGCGUAAAGCGCACGUAGGCGGAAUGUUAAGUCAGGGGUGAAAUCCCGGGGCUCAACCCCGGAACUGCCUUUGAUACUGGCAUUUUCGAGUCCGGAAGAGGUGAGUGGAAUUCCGAGUGUAGAGGUGAAAUUCGUAGAUAUUCGGAGGAACACCAGUGGCGAAGGCGGCUCACUGGUCCGGUACUGACGCUGAGGUGCGAAAGCGUGGGGAGCAAACAGG